CCUACGGGAGGCAGCAGUGGGGAAUAUUGCACAAUGGGGGAAACCCUGAUGCAGCGACGCCGCGUGAGCGAUGAAGUAUUUCGGUAUGUAAAGCUCUAUCAGCAGGGAAGAAAAUGACGGUACCUGACUAAGAAGCCCCGGCUAACUACGUGCCAGCAGCCGCGGUAAUACGUAGGGGGCAAGCGUUAUCCGGAUUUACUGGGUGGAAAGGGAGCGUAGACGGUCCUGCAAGCCAGAUGGGAAAGCCCGGGGCUCAACCCCGGGACUGCAUUUGGAACUGUAAGGCUAGAGUGUCGUAGAGGCAGGCGGAAUUUCUAGUGUAGCUGUGAAAUGCGUAGAUAUUAGGAGGAACACCAGUGGCGAAGGCGGCCUGCUGGACGAUGACUGACGUUGAGGCUCGAAAGCGUGGGGAGCAAACAGGAUUAGAUACCCCAGUAGUC
rnacentral:rRNA from 1 species